GACAAAAUGGCUGAAGGCUCAAGAAUUUUCUCUCAUGUUCUUCCACAAUUUACAUGUAAUUAAGUCGACACAAUAACUACAACAAUGAAAGAGUGAGGAGAACUGUGGUCCAGAACAGGUGCAUUUCCACUAAGCAUGUUACUGCAUGGGGAUCCGUAAUCAAGUUAUAAUCAAGAUGAGGUCUCAAAGAAAAGACGUGUACCUUUUGCUGACAGCUCCAAUCAUUCCAUUUAUCAAGAAGACUGCUGGCACCGACAACUCAAUGUGUCCAUCAUGUAUGCCAUACAGGUGACUUUAUACAACUACGAAGACAAACUUAGACAUUUAGCUGUGAGCCUGAUAAGGGCCGGGAUAUUAAGUCCCUCAUAGCACUCUGAUGCAUAGUUAGUGUUUAAUUUUAGUAUUAAGUAGACGCCAACUCUUGCUUAAAACCCUUUCUCUCACCCUCUUGUCCCCAAUGAGGUUGAAAAAUGCAUAAUGUGAAGUUUGAUACAUUGAAAGCCCCCCCCCCCCAGAAGUGUCUUUGCCCCUUUGUAUUCAAGCGCUUAAGCGGAGCCCAGGCCCGUUGCUCAUCAGAGUUCCCCCCCCCCCCCAAAUAAACCAAAAUGUCUUUUUACACCUUUCCAAAAGAGAUACAGGUUCUUGCCAAAUCAUAAACACCAUUGACUAUGGUUUUGUUUAUUCUUUCCUUAUGUAGUGCAUACUGUGAAAAACCAUCAAACAAAAGUUUGAAUUGUUGAAUUGAUGAGUUGAUCCGAUUAUUAAAACAAGCCUAAUGCAAGAAUAAUUGCUUUACUUUACAUAUGAACCAACUGCGAGGUGGUAUUAACAACUGCAUCUCCUAAGGACCGAUUGUCACCCACGAAGCAGCACCAAAGUUAACAGUGUCAGUUCAUAAGCAAGGCCUGAAUGAACGAAGCAAGGCCUGAAUGAACGACCCCAGGGAGAUUCAAGCUGUACUUAAUGGAGGGCUGACACCUGUUGCAGCCUUGGAACUAUCAACAUGUGAAGCAAAUGUGAAGAUGGUGUUGAACAUGAACAUAACUGAUGUUUUUACCAAAUUUUGCCCCAAAAUGUAACAAGGCUACAUAGCAAUGCGUAUUUAUCAAAUUUUUCUCACAUUUUGCCUCAAAAUGCAACAAGGCUAUAGGCUUACAUUUUUAUCAAAUUUUCUCACAUUUUGCCUCAAAAUGCAACAAGGCUUUAGCCUUGCCUAUUUAUCGAAUGUUGCUCAAAUUGUGCACGAAAAUGCAACAAGGCUUCAGCUUUGCUUAUUUAUCAAAUGUUGCUCACAUUUUGCCUCAAAAUGCAACAAGGCUUCAGACUUGCAUAUUUAUCCAAUUUUUCUCACAUUUUGCCUCAAAAUGCAACAAGGCUAACAAGGCUUUAGCCUUGCCUAUUUAUCCAAUUUUUCUCACAUUUUGCCUCAUAAUGCAACAAGGCUUUUAGCCUUGCUUAUUUAUUGAACGUUGCUCAAAUUUUGCAUGAAAAUGCAACAAGGCUAAUUUUUCUCACAUUUUGCCUCAAAAUGCAACAAGGCCUUGCGUUUUUAACGAAUGUCGCUCAAAUUUUGCAUGAAAAUGCAACAAGGGUUUAGCCUUGCAUAUUUAUCCAAUUUUUCUCACAUUUUGCCUCA